AUAAUCUUUUCUAAUAUAUUUGCCCAAAUGCUUAAAAAUAAUGAGGGUUAAAAAAUGAGUGUUCCAUUAUGUGCAUGUGUUUCAUUGUAUAUUGUAAUGAGUUAAUGAUGAAAAAUAUGUUCAAGUGUUUAAAUUGUAUUUUAUAGAAUUGUUAAUACUAGCUCCAGACUAGUCUCCUGAUAAUUUUAAUUCCUCUGUCAGAUAAACUGUGUCAAGUUUUUACUCUAGACACACGAGUAUUUUUCUCCUGUGACCUCCUUCUUGUCAGUACUUACAUGUUUGUAUGCCCUUAGAGUAUAAAACCCUGGCCUCCUCUGUCUCUCAAAACAUAUAUUUUGGACUGGCAGUCUACAGAAUAGUGAUGAUAAAAGAAAGGCCAAGGUCCUGCCCUUGAUCUGUGAGAGCCAGUCAGCUCACUGUGCUCCAGUCACCCACUGCCUCCUUCAGGCAGCUUCCAAGUGCAGAUCAGUGUGUCCUGGUGGUGGCCACCUCAUCGCCCUGCUUAAAGACGAGUCGUACGGUGGCGGGAAAUGUGAACGAAGCAGCACCAAUCCAAAGGUGCAGAGCACCUUUCUGUACCUUCUUUAAAAUAAUGAGGAAAUAAUAACAAGGCACCCAGUCCUAGUAUCUUGACGAAUUAUAAACUCCUUCCCCCACCUCUUCAUUCUUUCUCUCCCACUUUCUUUUUUCCCUUUGACAUAGGUACUUUCUCCCAUGAAAUGAGUUAAUGGAGACUAAGGCCAACUUAUUAAACACCACAUCCCAUCAUUUUACGAGCCAUAUUGAUGGGAAGUAUCAGCAGAAGAGCCGGAUAUAUGCUUAAAAUUUUUGAAACAUUUCCUUUUUCUGCAAGGAUUUGAAGAGCUCCCAACUGAGGUACUUGAAAAUAUGGCUGGAAUGGUCCAGAAACUUAUGUAUGGUGAGUUGAACUGGAUGACCUCAAAAUGUGUCACUGUCUUUUACAGUGUCUAUACUCUGUAGGGUACAACAUGCUUAAGGGAGGCCUGGAUACUUAGUGAUGCUCCAUCCUGAAGGAAUAGUGCAUGUUGGCAAUAGGGGACACUAAUUUCCUCCCUCCCGGGGGCUUACUCUGUGAUGCAUCUGUGCUGGUCCACUGUAUACAUUACCUUCCUGGAGGUUCAGACUAGAGUAAGCUGCAGUGUAGAUGACUUCUUCAUUUAACGCACAGGGACCCAGCAGAAGAAGAUAUGAAAUGAACUUGAGGUCACACUGCUAGUAAGUAGAAGGGCUGGGGUGAGCACUUUGGCCUGAGUACAAACCACGUCUCCUUAAACGUUCAGUAGCUACAUGUUGAGCAAUUACUAUACUCCUAUAAAAAGAUGAAUCUUAGAAAACAUUGUUAACAAAUUUGAAGAGUUAUUGUUUAAUCUGAGAAGAGAAGGGGUGACUGAGUUGAAAGGAUAAACUUUGAAACCAGCUUUUUCUUUGGGUAGAGACCAUACGGUUUGGGUAGAGACCGAGCAGGCACACUCUGACUUGAGUCAAGCAGACCUAGGCAAGCAGAGAAAUAGAAUCGUGUUUUAACAAACUGAAAUAUUGAAGGUGUCGGGGGCUGUCUGCUAAUUUCUGAUCGAGUUUGCUUUGGUGAUUGUUUCUCUUUUAAGUCUUCAAAUGUUCACCUUGGUUGGUCUUCAGCAACCCAAAUGGUCAGUUAUGUCACUUAGAAUAUUGGUUUGGCUGCUGUAAUAAGAGAUUUAGUAAUGGCUUGCACAAAAGAGAAGUUUCUUUCUCCAUCAGAGUCAAAGCUAGGUAGGUAAUCAAGGUUUGGCAUCACAGCUCCACAAUCAUUAGGAAUCCUGCCUCUUUUUCCCUCAUUGCGCUGCCACCAUUAGCGUGUGGCUUUCACCUUGGGGUCUAAGGUGGCUGUUUUAUAUCCUUCCAUCACAUCUACUUUCUGGCCAUCAAGAGGAGGACUAGGCAAAGAGAAGGACGUGUAUUUUUUUCUCCUUUAAGGCAUGACUAAGAAGUUGCAUGUAUUACUUGUGUUCACAUCUUAUUAGGCAGUGCACAGUCAUCGGGCCAUUUGCACUGUGACACAGAAGGCAGAAGGUAGUUUUUAUGGAGGGCAGUGAGGAUGGGAAGGAGAACAUAUAGCCAACUGAAAAUUCAAUUGUUAAGGAAAGAAUGAAUGUUGGGGGACAGUUGGCAUUCUCUGCCCCAUCAUUCUAUGAAGAUAAGUUUAACAUGGAAAGCAUGGACUUACACAUAAGAAGGAGGGAGACGUGGAAUGCUGCAGGCCAAACUCUUUCUUAGGGUCUCUCCUUUUUCAUCUGGGCCAGAAGAUUUGGCCAAAUCUAGAUACUUCUGUUGACAUGGUUCCCCUGGGCGUUGAAGACACCACUUUGUCUGUUUUGAAGUUGGCAGUGUGUUACUCUAUCUUUUAUGACGCAGUGUCAGUUUGGAUUUGUGUUUCUCCUGGAAAAGUGUAUGCAGUGGCUCCAAAGUUGGUAUCUGGGUUGUGACUCCCAUUGAGCAGAUUCCACAUUGCUAAAGUCUGGAUGCAUUUUCUUUCUUCAAAAGAUUUCUAGGAAAAAAUUCUCUCCUCAUCAGAAUGCUACUUUAAGACACUAUUGUUCAAGAUAGAAAGCUUAAAAUGCCUAUACUUGGCAUGCAUGCACACUUUUCUGUAACAAAAUAACAUUUGUUUCUUAGAAAACUGAUGAUAUGUAGUCCAGAGUUCAUGUUCCAACCUCAACACUUAACUCUGACGUAGCUUUGACUAAGCCAGUGGAAGUCUUGACUUUUCGUAGUU